UUUUCUUAUGCUUAUUAGCCAUUUUCUGUUCAUAUGCUUCACGUUGCCAUAAUCUUAAUAUAAUUUGUUCAUAAGGAGUUUUAGUCAAAGCUCCUACCAACUUACCAAUGAACUUUCAAAACGUAUCUCAUUUGAAAGUUAGAAGCUAAUUAUACUAGUUAUAUGUUGGGAUGAAAGUAGAGAAGCCUAGUACCAAAUCUGCUGUCAGAACCUUAUACAAAGUUGGAAGUGUUCUGUACCAUCAAAUAUGGUAGUCCCUAGCCACACGUGACUAUUGAGCACUGAAAUUGUGGCCACUGUGACUGAGGAACUGAAUUUUUAAAUUUUAUUCCAUUUUAGUUCAUAUAAACUUUAUUUUUCAGAGCCAUGUGUGGCCAGUGGUUACCAUAUUAGACAGCACAGCUCCAAGCAAUUUAUCUAUUUCAGGAAAUGGGAGAGCCUGGGCUUCAUUCCUGGCCUACUAAAUCCAUAAGCAAGAGGAAAAAACAACACAAUCAAGGGACAAACUACAUCGUGUGAGGCCAGCUCAGGCUGCUACUACUCUGUCAUCCUAAGAGAAGAAUCUCUGAAAUUUUGACAGCAUGUGGAAAUAUUCCCACUGAUUAUUGGAUUAUGAAGAUGGAGAAGAGUAUUUUAAAGGAGUUUUGUAGGAGCUGCAGGAGAGGAUUCAGGUAUAUUUAUAUUCAUAGUAUAUGUGUAAUGCUUUGUUCCUGCUCCUUCAUUACUUCUAUUAAGAAGAGACAAGGAGAGAGACAUGGAAAUGACUAAGGCACCAAAGGAAAGGCAUUUUUUACAUUUCAAAGUCACAGGUAAAAAACAUUUAUCAUUUUCAUGUGGAAACAUUCUUCCAAGCUGUAACUAAUAAUGGUCUCUCCUACUAUUUCCUCCCACUUCUGCAGCUGCUAAAACACCUUUGCCACCAGCUCCGACAAUCAAACCAUGCCUUUGGAUUUCUUCAGUUUCUAAAGGGGAACAUCUUUUUAAAGCCUUUGUUGUAUUAAUUAAGAAUCCAGGGCCAAGCCCGUGG
rnacentral:lncRNA from 1 species